AGCGAACGCUGGCGGCAGGCCUAACACAUGCAAGUCGAGCGCUCGUAGCAAUACGAGAGCGGCAGACGGGAGAGUAACACGUGGGAACGUACCCUUCAGUUCGGAACAACCCAGGGGAAACUUGGGCUAAUACCGGAUACGUCCGUAAGGAGAAAGAUUUAUCGCUGAAGGAUCGGCCCGCGUCUGAUUAGCUAGUUGGUGAGGUAACGGCUCACCAAGGCUACGAUCAGUAGCNGGUCUGAGAGAUGAUCAGCCUCACUGGACUGAGACACGGCCCAGACUCCUACGGGAGGCAGCAGUGGGAAUAUUGGACAAUGGGCGCAAGCCUGAUCCAGCCAUGCCGCGUGGGU
rnacentral:rRNA from 1 species